AUUGAACGCUGGCGGCAGGCCUAACACAUGCAAGUCGAGCGGUUGAGGUAGCUUGCUACCGAUGCAGCGGCGAACGGGUGAGUAAUACAUGGGAAUCUGCCUGGUAGCGGGGGACAACGUCUCGAAAGGGACGCUAAUACCGCAUACGCCCUACGGGGGAAAGGGGGGGAUCUUCGGACCUCUCGCUAUCAGAUGAGCCCAUGUCAGAUUAGCUAGUUGGUGGGGUAAAGGCUCACCAAGGCGACGAUCUGUAACUGGUCUGAGAGGAUGAUCAGUCACACUGGAACUGAGACACGGUCCAGACUCCUACGGGAGGCAGCAGUGGGGAAUAUUGGACAAUGGGCGCAAGCCUGAUCCAGCCAUGCCGCGUGUGUGAAGAAGGCCUUAGGGUUGUAAAGCACUUUCAGUGGGGAGAAAGGUUAUUCACCUAAUACGUGAGUAAAUGAUGUUACCCACAGAAGAAGCACCGGCUAACUCCGUGCCAGCAGCCGCAGUAA
rnacentral:rRNA from 1 species